GACGAACGCUGGCGGCGUGCUUAACACAUGCAAGUCGAACGGAAAGGCCCUGCUUUUGUGGGGUGCUCGAGUGGCGAACGGGUGAGUAACACGUGAGUAACCUGCUCUUGACUUUGGGAUAACUUCAGGAAACUGGGGCUAAUACCGGAUAGGAGCUCCUGCGUCAUGGUGGGGGAUGGUAAGUUUCGGGGGUGGGGGACGGACUGGCGGCUUAUCUGCUUGUUGGUGGGGUAGUGGCUUACCAGGGGUUUGAUGGGUAGCCGGCGUGAGUGGGGACCGGGCCACUUGGGAAUGGAGAACGGCCCGAACCCCAUGCGGGGGGAAAGAGGGGGAAAUUUUCCAAAAGGGCGGAAGCCUGAUGCAGCAACGCCGCGUGCGGGAUGACGGCCUUCGGGUUGUAAACCGCUUUCGCCUGUGACGAAGCGUGAGUGACGGUAAUGGGUAAAGAAGCACCGGCUAACUACGUG
rnacentral:rRNA from 1 species